CCCACACCGCCAUCCGCGUCGACUUGGCCAUGGGCAACACCUUAGUGCGUCACUACACGGCCUCCAACACCCUCCCAUAAGUUGGAGGCAGCAGUGGCCAGCUAAGGAGGUCCGGCUUCAUCUUCUCUGCCAGCAACGAAACGAUUCAGAGCAAGGCGUAACCAGCAACCAACCAAGCCAUUGGUUCUUACAUGAAAAGCUAGCUACUCUCCCUUCUCCUUGGUGACCUCGUGGUCUGAGUGGUCAAUCAACAACUCUUAUUCAUGCUGUAAAGUACAACAGAUUUUCUUUAUUUUGCCAAACCUAAAUAUCCUUUCUGGGCCUCCAUGCAAGUGAACAAAUUACAAGGAAGAAAGGAAAAGUGUAGACCCUCCAUAAGAGCAAGCAGGAACGGAAACUGUUGAAAAAGCAAAGAGGUGGGGUUAGGGUGCCAUGGUCACAUACCUUAUAUGCUGGAUAAUUCUCUGCGAAUUUCAUGCAGGUAGUUCCUCUGCUUGAUAUAAAACAUUCUUUUUUGAAAAUUGGAAAUUCUUAUUAAAUGCUAGCUAUGUGUUGAUGUAAUUCAUCUUUGUCACUGAGGAUGCUAUCGUACAUGUUAUUCCAGUCUAUCAUGGGUAUUACUUUGAAUUUUCCCCUGUUUAUAGGAAAAAGGAUAUAUGCCAGUUCAAGCUUAUAUGUACUACUAAUAAAAUAGUUAUAUGAGCUUAUAUGUAUUAUUAAUAAUAUAGUUGUGGGUUCACUACUUUGUUCAUUUGCGGUCGGUUCGCCAAGAGGAUGCAUGGUUCUAAUCUUUCUCUGCACUAUGUUGAACUUGAGAAAUUGGUGGAAUCUGUAUCAUGUACAAUUGAGGUUCUUUAUUCCAAUCGUUCUGUCACAGAAGAAUACACAUCUUGAACCCCAACCCUAACAGCAAGGUUAGAUGCUAAGUUGUGUAGUUAAGUUUCACACUGAAUCAUUUAUCUUCAGAUGGUUGAGAUUUUUUUGAUUUGGUUUAUUUAUAGAAACCAUUGUGUUAUCUUCUGUAAUUUUGUGCCCCUAUAGAGCUUCUUAUUUCACAAAAUUUUCAUUCACUAAUGAUUUAAGCGGCUCUAGAAAGGUAAUUAGUUCAUUAUUCUUCAAAUAUCACGUAGUGUAAGCAAAGAUAGUAUCUUUGUAUUAAGAGACCUUUGGAUUUCCAAAGUGGGAACCCUACAACUUAAUUGUGCGUUUUCAGCGAGCAGUGAAUUCUUUUUUGUAGCCCAUUGCUACAAGCUGCAAAAGCAUGCUAUUAUUAGUUUCUUGACUCAAAUCAUGUUAGCAGUUGCUGCCAGUCAAUUAAGAUGCCACUAAUAUUUUUUUGUGGAUUUCCUAUCUUUUGGUGAUAGAGAGUUAGUUUUAGAGGUAUUUCUGUCUCAGGCAUUGUUAUUCUUCAACAUAGUAUUAUAGAAGGCAGCGGUGGAAAAUAUGGGGUCAAUGAUAGGCCGAACUGUCAUGAAUUUACAAGAAGACAUUCAAGAUUAAUUACUGAUGACAAGAUGAUUUUCAGGGAGAUUUUGCAAGGUAUCCUUUGAUUUUACUGUUCAUACAGAUACAUGUGCAUCAACAAUCUUGAGACCAACAUAUGAUUGCCAGUAUCAAAAUUGCCAAUAUCAAGUGCCAAACUGAUCUACUCCCUCUGAUCCAUAAUAAGUGUUGGAGUUUUAGUUCAAAUUUAUCCAGAAAUGAACUAAAACCCGGACACUUAUUCUGGAUCGGGAGGAGUACAUGUCAUGGCAUCCAUUUCAUUGGAGAAUUUUACUAUUGCAAUACUGGCAAACAGGAUGCAACACGAUAUGUAGGUAAUGCUUAGUAGGCAGCCUUUUUAAUAUUUUUCAUAGCAUAACCUUUUAUAUAUCUGUUUAUAAUAGUGGGAUUUUAGAGAGCAUUUAUGUACAAGGAUAAACUGAUAUCUAAGCCAAUCACAUGUGUUGAGAGGCCAGUAAAGACUACUUUUGACUAUCAUUUUCAGUUCUCUCUAAUUUUUAUUUGUCUCCAACAUAGAAGCUCUAUUCAUAAUUAUCUGAUGUUCUUGGUCAUGUGUAGUAAUAUUUAUGUUUGAAUAUAAGGAAGUAUUGUAUUUAUAACAUAGGUCAUCAGCCUCCUUGAUACUACUCAGUACUGACCAGGCUAAUCCUGGGGUUAACUUUUCCGGGGAGUUUACAUGUAACCACUGCCUAUGCUCGAAGAAAUUGCGUUGAACUUAAACGAUCUGAAGUCAAAGAAGGUGCAUUUUUUUCUUGCAGCAUAAUUACCUACCAUUGACUUACUAACUGAACAAUGCAGUUUGUGCCCAUUUAAGCUUCCAUUAGUCCAUUAUAUAAUAUUUUAUAGGGACUUUGGUCUGUUCACCCAGUUAGACUACAUUACCUAUCUACAAAAAAGCUCAAGAUUUUUUUCCAAUGAUCAAGUUUUGAAAUUUUUGUUUCCAUGUGUUCUUAGAAUUCACAGAAGUAGUGGAACUUCAUAAUUACGGGGACAUCAGAUUGUUUGGUGACCUUGCUUUUCCUCCUUUCACGGUGGAAAGUAAGCAUUGGCGACACAUAGACGCAUGGCUUUUAUUUAUUUAUUCCCUUCCGACUGGCUUUCCCUGGUCACGGUGACACGCACGGCAUCAUUUAGUCAGCUACUCUUAGCCAUAGUUCUUAAUUAAUUGUGCCCCAAAUACGAAACAAGAAGUGGGAAAAUAGCCAUGUACCUACACAAUACUUUACAACAUGCAGUACCAAAGAUACUCAAGUUAAGAUUUCCGUUUCAGUCGUGAUAUACGAUUGAUUGGAACCAUCAGGAGCACAUACAUUAUGACAUAAAAGAAAAUUUUGAAGAAAGUGGAACUAGGCUAAAUAGGCAGCACACAGGCUAAUGAUAUUUCACUUCAAUAAUAUCUUCCUCCAUAGGUAUCGAAGCUAACAUAGUUCUCUAUCACAACACCUAUAUUUCCCAUACAAAUGUGAACUAAUGUCAUAUUUUGUUCUCUGUGCAAAGCUUCCUGCCUGAUUUUACCUCUUUGUUCUUUUUACAAAUCUAGACAAGAUAUUGGACACUCAAAAAUAGUAGCACAGACAGUCGCCAGGUUUUUCUAAAUCUAUGCUAUUGCAUAGAUAAGAAUUGUAGUUCUGGACUUUUGGCAUUAAGGAACAGAAAAUGUCAGUUCUAGCAGAUUCUUGCCAUUUUUUGUUAAUUAAUUUCAAGAUCCGAACAGAGCACUUGCUUAGUUGUUCAAGUGUUACCAAGUGAUGAGAAUGGGUACUAAAAGCAUUCAUCAAUGGACUUACAGUUCACAAGUUUUUAAUAACAAUGGCAUUGACUUAUAUGAUCUACAGUUCUAUAUGCAAGCAGAUCAUGAUGUCCACCCUCAUGCGCAUCACACAACCCAUCUAGCCCUUUUCUCAACUACUAAAUAAAGCGUACACCAAGCAGGUAGCUACAACUAAUUAAUCAUAUCCUAACGUUUAGAAAAUGCAAAGAAAGGGGCAGCACAUGAACACAUACAUUCGGGACCAACGGAUGAUAGAUCAAGCACAUAAUAAAGAAGUUAGAAGCGCCAUCUAAGAAAACUAAAAGUUAGAAGUGCAAGCAGGGUGGUGUACCUGCAAGUGCAAGCCUGCUGCAGCCACUGCGCCUAGGGAGUCAGGCAGUCAGCGACUCCAUGGCCGAUGGAUGGCCGCAGUUACCAUCACUGAGGAUGCCACGGUGGCAGAUCGAGCUCCAGUUCUGGCUCCGCUGCCCCUCAGCUUCUGCCCACCUGCUGCCGCCGCCGAUGUGUGACUGCUUUCCUCUGAGCAACGGGCGCAGGACAUACAGGGGCACAUAGGCUGCGAGUAAAGGCAGAAGGCCAUGUUGGCGGGAACGAAUCUGCGGUGCAAGCUACAGAGAGUACGAUUUUGUGCUCGCCUGUGUCAAUUGGCAGCUCCGGCGGACGGAAUCGAGGAGCAGACUCGGGGGCAGUAGCCUCAGGAGAGAGCAAGGAGAAAGGGGAACGGAGGUGACUUUUUUUUUUUUACAAACAGAUGUCGGAACCAUGAGUGCUAUGUGUUUGUGUCGCGGUUUGGCAAAGGAUUGCUCCUGGGUUGUUUGGUCUUUCUAUUCUUUUUAAGGGGCCUAUCUGUACAGGCGGACAAUGCCCUUCUUUUCAAUGUAGUGUGCUAUAGACCUAUAGUCCAAUGUAUCAGAAAAAACCAUUCGUGCGUGUGAGACUGUGAUGCUGAUGCAUGUCUCCGGAUCACCCUGUGUGAGAAAAGGAUAGGGUCCGCGUGUAA